rnacentral:lncRNA from 1 species
UUGGACUCCCCUUCGGCUUCACAUGGCCAGCCCUAAUUUCUUAAUCCAAACCUAAUCACACACAAAUACACAAUCACGCUGCCUACAAUAGAUUUGGUCAUCUGCUGUGCUGCUUGCCGACAACAAAUUGCUGCUCUUCGUCUUCGUCUUCGUCCUCAUCCCCGAUCUCUAGCUUGCUGGCUAUUCCCAUUUCCUUUUGUUUCGCAACUUAAUGGUUGUUGCCGGUAGCCUGCUACCUUCUUCAACUCCGAGCUAUAGCUAAUGCCUUCUUAAUUUAGAUUUUCUUCAAGUUCGAGUUGCUGCUACUGUAUUCUUUUGUGAGAGGUAAGCUGAUGGGUUCUUUCAUUUGUACACUAGGGUUUGGGGUUCUCUGAUCAGAAUAUAUCGGCUGGUCUGGUGAUUGCUCAACCGCCGUCGAUUUUUGAGGUGCCGCCCAGGUUGAGCCCCGCAAUUCUACUUGACUCGCUAAAUUUCAGUUUGUUUUCGCCUACACAGGUAAUUCAAUUUAACUUUGUCUGACCUAAAGUUUCUUCAUUUAUUCAUUAGAUUUUAGCUUGUUUAGGAAAGCUUUCAUUUUUAUUGGGUUUCGCAUUUAAAUGCUAAUAAUCCUUGGGUUUGAAUUUUGAUUUUUUUUUUUUUGGAGGGAUGGAAAAUUUUCUUCAUUGCCUUGAUUUGUUAGCAGUCGGUUGGAAUUUUGAAUUAGAGCUUGCUGAAGCAUUUAUUAUAGAAUUUAUAAAUGUGCCCUGUAAUUGGGAUAAAAACUCUUGACUUAAUUAAUCUGACAGAAGAACAUUUUGAGCAAUGUUGUAAUGUGAUUGUGCAUUGCUGAGAUAAUCUCAUCUUGUUUUGGUAUUCUAAGUAUCCAAAUGGACUGGAUAGUAGGCUAUCCAGGUCAAGUUUUAAUGGUAAUUGGGCAUUUUUCUUUCCUGAUUUUAGUUUCAUCUCUUUUUAGAUGAAGCAUAUGGUUAAUGCAAACAAUUAACGAAAGAAAAGCUCUUGGUAUUACUAGUGUUGGAGAUCCAAUUGUCUUCAUGUAAACUGUGAACACUUUUAACUCCCAUAUCUAAGAUAUAAAGAUCUUGAUGUAGCUUUAAGCCAAAUAUGUGAGAAAUUCUCCAAUCUAGUCACAACUUUAUUAGCAACCAAGAAUGAAAGAGUAUUAGCUUCCAGUUAUAAUUUGAUGACCGGAGCUUGAAUGAGUGAGUGAUAACUUGUAUUGUCUAUAUUGCUUUGUAUGUCAUGCCUCACUGGCAUUAUGUUACUUGGGUAUCCAAAUUUUGCGUUUAUCUAUUACUAAUUUUCCUGAUUCAUUGGAUGCAACCUAGGGAGCCUUUAGAAUGAAGCACUAGCAGGCCCUAGCACAGGUCACUGCCCAAGCUGUACAAGCUGAAUCUCAUACACAAAGCCUUGUUGAAUAUCAAUGUUGUUAACACACUGAAUAAUUUCCUCUGUGACUUCAAGGUUUUAAUCAAAUUUAGAGGUAUAUGUGGUUCUCAAACCCAUUACAAUUGACUGGUACUUGUGUUUUUUUUUUAUUAGAAAGAUAUCUUCUGCAAAAACUUUAUGAAAUUCACUUUUGGAAAUGCAAAUGCUUUGUGUGGUGGUACUUGCAUUUAUUUGCUUGGUCUUCUACCAUUUCAGUCAAAUGAUUUAUUUUGACUCGUGCUUAUGACUAACUUGUUGAUAGAGAAACUAGGCUGUUUAUGGAUGUAUUAAUGUGCAUCCUAUGAUUUUUCUCUUAAUUGACAUGUUGAACUUUUUGGAAGAAUAUUUUUUUUUCAAUUUGAUUUGUCACAUAUUGUGCUAUGUUAAUUGGAAAUGUUUUGGUUUGUGGUCCAUGUUGCACUUACUAGUCCUCAGUACUUGGUGGUCCUUUAGCAUCAUAAAUUAAAUUGGAUGCAUUUAAAGCAUCCAUUGCGUAGCAUUAUCACACUAAAGGGUCUCAUCUAGUUAGAAUAUUUUUUCUGCUUAUUUCCUCCAGAAGAGACAUUAUAUAAGAGUAUAUAGAUUCAAUCCUAAUUGGACAAUCAGAGUUGGUGACUAGGUAAACUAGUCGGGCAAAGAAUGGUCUUGCAAAGCUAAAUUGAAGAUGUAAUUUUGGAAAAAUUGAAACAGCUGGUCCAUAAAUAAUGAUACUUUUGCUCCUAAGAACCAAGAGAUUCCAGCCUAUCUAUCUUUUUUUGGUUUUUGUAUAUAUAUAACUCAUGAGAUUUAUAAUUUUUCAUUAUCAUGUUAACCCCUGGUCUGGACUGUCCUAAUAUUUAAACUUCUUUCCACCAUUUUCAAUUCUUAAAUUGACCAAUAUUUAUCUCAAUGUGUCCCUUUACUUGCCCAUUGAAUUUUGCAUCAAGGAUCUGAUGUGGUAGAAGAGAAGCUAACAAUUUAUGCGCUCGACAAUGUCUUUGCCUUUUGAAUUGAUUGAGAGAUCAUCAUUUCUUCACCCACUGGAAACUUUAGAUUAUGCUUUACGCUUUAGGCUUAGACUGAUAUUAGUGUUGGCAAGCCUACAAUCAUGGUAUUAAAGUUGGUAGAUUGAGGAGAUUCUGGUGAUUCCAGAAUUUUCUACAUUUUCUCUUUAUCUUUUGGAUUUUUAGAACUUUUUCCUUUCUUUUUAUUAGCUUGAUUUUGAUGGAUUUUAUUUAAUUAUAUAUGGAAGGUUAGAUGUUGUGCAUUAAUUAAAUUGUAGUCUUGAAAAAAUACUCUUUAAAAAAAUUCAUCUAGAAAUUUAGAAUUGAAAUCUGUAGAAUGCUAGACUAAAAGUUCUCUUCUCGUCUUUGGCAUUGCACUUGGUUUUAUAUUUCUCUUUACUAUGUACUCUGUUGCAAAAUAUUUUGUUUAUACUUAAUCUUUUAUAAUCCAGCAACUCUUAUGAAGACCUAGUCAACUGUCACUGCUACAUAAGCAUUCAGGUUAUGCUGCUUUAUCAUCAUUUUUAUUUUCUUCCCUUUUUCUCUUUUACAGCUUGUGAGCUUACUGCUUCAUUAUGUCAAUUGUCGAAUGUGAUUUUUUAUUUUCUCUUGGGUUGUUUAUUCUCAUUUUCCCUUUAGUAUCAAAGCUGAUUAAAUCAAUUAGACACUGAUGAAUUUUAUUAUGAAUUUGAUUAAUUGUAAGCGGGCAAUAUAUUAAUAUGUAUUUUUUUGGCACUCAUUUUAUUGUAACCUAUGUUUCAGGUGAUGUUGGUGGCUUUCGGGAAUUUACUAAGAGUGUUUUUUUUAUGGAUUAAUUGUUUUUCUAGUGAUGUGUUGGUGAUUGGAUAUUAUAAAGGAUUUAUGAGAUAUUGUAAAGGAUUUGAUUCACCAUAUAUUUUGUGAUGCUAUUUGUUGGAAGUUUCAAGUGAUUGAAAUUUUUAGCGCAUCACACUAUUUGGUAUUUGAUAGUUUUUAUGAAUUUGAAUGUAAUUUUUAUUUCAAUUAAUUCAAGUUUUAAAUGUGGUUUUUGUUGUUUUUAUUUCAAAA